UUUUUGUGCCAUUCCUUUGCUGUCUCCAUUAUUUUAUAUUAUUCAACCCAUUAACCGGUUGCAUAUGGACGAGAAAAAGUAGAAAAGUUUCCUCUGCAAAACAGCAACAGCAGUCAUGGUCUUCCCAAUGAAUACACUGUUUGCAGAUUUUCAUGGCUUAGUAAAGUAGCUGAAGAUGCUGUCUCAGGUUUUUGCAGAGAGGAUGUUCGAGGAAGAAAUUGGUGGUUUGAAAGUGUUUGAAAUUGGGUCCCUCUAUAUGGUUCUCAAGAUGCAACAACUUCUCCAAAACUACGACAUCCGUAACGAAACCCUAAAAAAUGUCGCUUCGUACAUGCUAAAAGCAAUGGUUUUAGAUCUUGAAGGUAAAACAUGUAAUCUUCGGAACAUCGUCUCUGUUUUGUUUGGAAGUUUUUUCAAUUUAUGUGGUUGUUAAUGAGUUACAGGUUUAGGUUGGCUAUUCCAAAGCUUAGCGUACAUGGUAUGGUUUCUGCUGUGAAAGAUAUUUUAGAGCAGCUUAAACUUUGUGUUGCACAUCAUUACCCAAAAUACAGUUUGUUGAAAGUAUGGCGAAGUCUUAGUUAUAGUCUGAAAACAACUCUCGGUGCAAGUCACGACGUAGAAAUGCUUAAUCGUGCCUUAAUAUCGGUCUGCAGUAGCAUGUUUGAUGUCCAGUCGUG